rnacentral:sRNA from 1 species
UCUUCCUUGCUCUCCUGGGAGCUGCUACCGAAUCCAAGUGCGUCUUGGAGAAUACAACAUUAAGGUCUAUGAAGGCAAUGAACAAUUCAUAAAUGCAGCCAAGAUUAUUUGCCACCCGAAGUAUAACUCAGCCACCAUUGAUAAUGACAUCAUGCUGAUUAAGCUGAGCUCAGCCACCACCAUCAACUCUCAAGUGGCCACCAUCUCUCUGCCAAGAUCCUGUGCAGCGGCUGGUACUCAGUGCCUCAUCUCUGGCUGGGGCAACACCCUGAGCAGUGGCAGUAAGUGUCGCCUGAAACAGAAAUACCAAAUAUGACCAUUUUAGAGCUGAAAGACAUGUGGAAAGUUAGCUAGUCCAAACUCACUUAAGGCUAAGUUCCCAGAGCAUAGUUUUUGGAUAUAUGGAAUCUCAGAAAUAUACUAUUAAUAAUUGAAAUGAAGAAGAUUCCUUUGCUGGAACCAUGCAGAAGACACAAUAAUGAAGUACUAUGAAGAUAUCAGGGUAUUUAACUGAAGUGUGAUUAGUGAUGGGCAGAGAACUAUAAACUGAGGAGUGUCUGAAGGCUCCCAUUCUAACACUGCUUGCCGCACAGCCUACCCAGGCAAGAUUACUACAAACAUGAUAUGUCUGGGAUUCCUGGAGGGUGGAAAGGACUCUUGCCAGGGUGACUCUGGUUGCCCUGUGGUCUG